rnacentral:lncRNA from 1 species
GAGGUUGACCCUUAGCUCGCUAGGCUCUUGCUGCGUUGAAUUUUUAGGACACAGCUGACUAGACAUGACCUUUAACCUUGCUCCACACUUUCUAGGAAUUCAGUUGCGCUAAGUAGAGUUUUCUAGGGUGCAGAUUAGUCAACACUAGAGAGUGGGCAACUCUAUCACGUUUUUUUUUUUUUUUUGCAUACCGUGUUAUCACUCUCUUGCUGCAGCACUCCAAAAUAGUGAGCACGUUAUGAGAACUUUGCAAAGUGGAAUGCCACAAAGUAAAUAAACCACUAUACAAAGCACUGCAGGUUCUUUAAGUUAGUGUUGGACUGUUAGGGAUACGUUUUGAUUUUGAGAGAGCCACGUGGCCAUUAAUUUUGCUCUCGUGGGAACAUAAUUUUGUUGUACUGUUUGUUGUUGUUCAAUCAAAUUGUACUUGUUAUGUUUAACACACACACACACACUAUAGCGCCAUCCCCGUCCAUGGAAAAACAGAAAAAAGAAUCCAUAAUUUUAUAGCUGGAAUAAACAUUCAGUGUGGCAAGGUUAAUCCAAAAUGCUUCAGAGUUCAGACUUCAGACUCAUGUUGGAUUUGGUGAUGAACAUGUAAUGGCUGCUCCUUCUGGGUAAAAAACUGGAUCCAAAGAAAUAUCACAAAUACAUAUUAUUAAUUAAAAGUCUGGUCUAAUGCUGAAUCACAGAAAAAAACAAAUUGGAAGAAACAAAUUGUGCUGUCAUCAUCUAUAUAAACCUGAUUUUUUACUACGUACUGUAUGUUCUAAGGAAAUGUUAGUGGCACAUAGCUAGCAGUGGCAAUGGACCACGAUCCAAAUGUUUCUUCACUAUUUGUUUGAGCCCUUAAUUAAUUUUAAUUAAAAAAUGAAAAGAAAUAGGGUCCGAUCCUAAUUUGACCCUAUUCUUAAAUUUUAUAGUGUAAAAUUUAGAUCCAUUACCACCCUACACACAGUUAAUGUUCAGUUGAUAAUUUCUGGUUUUAAUGAUGUCUGCUUGUGUAUUUCAGCCUUUGAGGCAGAGAAGGUGUCAACUUUGUUUCCAUUUGAUUGGAUAUUGUCUUUACGAUCAUUGCUAGUGUAUUAUGAUUUUAUGAAAGAUGAUGGUACUAUGUGAGGUCAAAUGAAAGUUAUGAUAUGCCUUCCUUCUGAUGGCCAGAAUAUGUUAAUUGAUCAGUUUGGAUACCAUUGCGAUAAGUAGCUGUCUAGAUACACCAGUACCCACAAAUUCUCUCACACCCAAUAUGCCGACAUGGUGGGGUAAAUCAUCGUCAAAAGAUGUUAAGAAAACCACCAAGGAAAACCUGAUCGAUACAUUUCAUCGCUUGAUAAGUCCAAAUGAGCAAAAGGGAAGCACAAAAUCAAAACGGAAUUGCAGGCGUGGCAAUAAUACAGCUGCUGAGAAAGUUUGCAAAUCAACAACAGUGUCACGUCCAACUUCUCCAUCGAAAGAAGUUUCUCGCUGCCAAAGUUUUUCGGCUGAUAGGCUGCAUGCCCAGCCACUUCCUAUUCCUGGAGUACGCCCUCGAGUAACUCGUGCAGUUGCUGAUGUCAAUGUUUCAAAGCCCAUAUUGGAAAAACGUGGCAAACCUCCACUGCUUUUGCCACUUCCUAAACCCAAUCCACUUCACCGGGGACCUGGAAGCAGUGAUAUUCCUUCAGAAAUAGUGGUUGCUUCUGUCUCUAGCAAUUGUUCUGCUGAUAGUGAGGAUCGUGCAGAUUCUCAGCUUCAGAGCCCUGUUGGGAAUGAUACUAACAAUGUAAAAAAGGUUUCUUCAAAGAACAAGUCAAGGUACUCUCCUGAGGCCAAAAACAUCACUUCUAUAUUCAAUUUCUAUAUUCCAGGCCGUCAUAUUAUUUGUGUGCCUCUCCAUCUAAACAUGUUCUAAUAUUUCCUUUUCUCUUUCUGAAGUAAUGUUUGCAAGGAUCACUCUGGUGCUAUUACUACCAAGACCACGAAAGAAAUAUUGAAGCCAGCUGCUAAUGCAUUCCUCAGUAACCAUACACAGUCCGCGCCACCAAGAGGUAUCUCAGCUGACAAUAAUCAACUAAAUUUACAAAAUCCCCAGCCAGUAGUUUUUGAGAGUGCUCCCAAUAGUUUGAUGUCAAGUCCUUCGAGAAGUCCAAGACCAAUAUGUCCUGAUCAUAUUCUGACUUCAGCAUUUUGGGCAGUGAAGCCUCAUGCUGAUGUAACUUUCCUUGGAUCUGGUCAGUGCUCCAGUCCAGGUUCAGGACAAACAUCUGGACAUAAUUCAGUGGGUGGUGAUAUGCUAUCCCAGCUUUUUUUGCAGCCCACCAGAGGUAGUCCAGAGUGUUCACCAGUUCCUAGCCCAAGAAUGACAAGUCCUGGUCCUAGUUCUCGUGUGCACAGUGGAAGUGUUUCCCCAUUGCAUCCAAGGUCUGGAGGACUGGCACCUGAAUCUCCUACAAGUCGGCAUGAUGGUGGAAAGAAGAAGCAAACCCAUAAAUUGCCCCUUCCACCAUUGAGCAUCGCUCACAGUCCAUUUUUUCCGAAUAACUCGACACCAAGUAGUCCUAUUUCAGUACCCCGUAGCCCUGGCAGAACAGAGAAUCCAUCAAGUCCUGCAUCGCGAUGGAAGAAGGGCAAGCUGAUUGGUCGUGGGACAUCUGGUCAUGUAUAUGUUGGCUUCAACAGGUAUUUGUUUUCCUAUGUAUGAAUUUCAAAUGUGAAGUUUGUAUUUUCUAUAAAUAUAUGUUUUAGUCAUCUUUACAAGCUUUUGGGGUUGUUUUUGGUCAACUCACUUUCCUCUAUUCUAAUUAUCCCACUUUGAAACGACCUUGUUUGACUCAAUGUUUCCCAGAAAUGAUACAACAAUAUUUGACCAAUAUAUACUUGUUUGCUAACUUUCCUUACAAGAGAAUAGACUAGGUAGGUAGUAUAUUCACGUACCUUUAUGGUGUAAGGUGUAUUGUGCUCUGUUUUCCUCUUGAAAGCUGGCAACACAUUUUCUUUUCUGAGAAGAGACAGAUUACACCUACCUCAUCUUGUGUACGGCCGCACUUUACAAGUCUCAAAUGGUUAUUUUCCUUUGCCACUAAGAUUAAGAGAGGGUGUUCAUAUUGUACUUCCUGUUUAUUGUGCAAAGUGCAAACGACUUUGUUGAGGUAGAAACAGCAAAAAGGGGCAUUUUGCAUCUUGUACUUCCUGUUAAUACGGCAUAGAUCCAAAGCAUAAAAUGUAAAAGAACAUAUCAUGCAGUGAAUAAAACUAGUUAGAACCAUAACACUAUAUUUCUUGCAUAAAAAUUGUGAGUGCCAUACCGCUCUGCAUAAUUGUUGGCAUAAUUGCAUUCUAGCAGUGAGAGAUGACAGUUAAAAGACAACUCAUGUUGAUGGUAAAGUUACAUAUAGUCAUAGGACACUGAAAACUACAUGUCCUAUUGUGUUUAAAAGACCUAAUGGUCCAAAUAAAGUCAAGAGAAUUUAGUUUAUUUUUUAAAAUAGCCUGUUCGGCUGCGGCGAUAAGCGCUGCUACACAGUCAGCAUACAGUGUUUGUGUCAUGCCUGAUGCAGCAGCCGCAGCCACAGCAUCGCGUUGUCGAGAAGCCAAACAUUGAUCAUUGUUUUGAACAAUAGGAUAGUGUGUUUCAAUUGAUAUAAUCCACUUUCCAUUUGAGCAAUUUUCAAAUCAUGCUUAAGUUUCCGCAAACCUUUGCUUUGUAUACCCUAUCUUGAUACCAUCAUCUGUAUUACUAUUAGUGAUAGUGGUGAAAUGUGCGCAAUGAAAGAGGUUACCCUAUUCUUGGAUGAUCCUAAAUCAAAGGAGAGUGCAAAGCAAUUGGGGCAGGUAUGUUAUUUCAGAUGUGUUGUGCACCACCUGCAAAAAUUUAGUUUAUAAGCUGUGUUUAUUGUUUUACGUUAUCUUUUAUCUUUGCCCUUUCCGUUUAACAGGAAAUAUCACUCUUGAGUCGCUUACGACAUCCAAAUAUUGUACAAUACUAUGGAUCAGAAAUGGUAUAAAGUGUUUCCUUCAAUAUGUACACUUGGUUUUUCUUGCUUCCUUAAUGCUUCUGCUGUUCCUGCAAUUUCAGAAGAUUGUAUUUGUUAUUUAAUCUUACUUUUUUUUACCCUUUUCCCUUCAGCAAGGGUGAUAAGAGAGUUCACAACAGCUUGUCACAUAUCAUUAAUAGGGUUAUGGAUGCAUUAUUUUCAUUUUUAGGCAUGAACUUAUACAUUAUGUUUGCCCAAAAUUAGGUUGAAGAUAAACUUUACAUAUAUUUGGAAUAUGUUUCUGGUGGAUCCAUACAUAAACUUCUACAAGAAUAUGGACAGCUUGGUGAACCAGCAAUACGCAGCUACACCCUUCAGAUACUUUCAGGCUUAGCUUAUUUGCAUGCCAAGAAUACGGUCCACAGGUAGAAUUUCAUUUUUUUUGGGUUCAAUCUUUUGGGUUGCACAUUCAGCAAAUGACAUCUAUUUUUGCUUUUGCUUUUGUGUGUGCUAUCAAUAAUUUGUAGGGACAUCAAAGGUGCCAACAUACUAGUAAAUCCAAGUGGCCGUGUUAAGCUUGCAGACUUUGGAAUGGCAAAACAUGUAAGUCUUGAGAGUCUCGAAGCCAUUCUACUUGGUUAAAAGUAGUUAAAAUGGGCCGAUGUUUUCUACAUAUUGAAAUAUGGAUCUGCUAUCCUUACAUUUAUUUUCCCUUUUCUACUUUUUUAUCUGUGCCCAUAAAUCAUGACCACUUGAAAUGGACCACCUCUUCAAAAAUAUACAGCCAUUUGAAAGUUGUAUUUCCAACAACAUUUAUACACUAGUCUGAAGUUUUGGUGUGGUGAGCAUACUGGUCUACCGGUGUAAAUAACUUGACCUGCGGGAGGUAAGACAACCCCCGGACAUUUUAUUAAGAAGACCUUCUCACGCAGGUCGAGAAAACCCCCGAACCCUUGCCCCACCCAGACACAACGACACUGUAAAAAAACUCAAUCUGCAUGGGGUAAGACAACCCUGAGCAUUAUAUUAAGAAGAAGACCUUCUCAUGUAGGUCAAGAAAACCCCCGAACCCCUGGCCCACGCAUACACAACGGCACUGUAGACUAGAAACGACUGCGACCGGUCCUUAGACCUAUGCUUUGGCAUGGGACAAACGAGGAGAUAUUUUUAACCACAACCUGAAAUUCGCUCACACGGGGAGUUGAACCCAGGACAUGAGGAGUGCUACUCAGACCACCUAACCAACUCGGCUAGAGGCCCUUUCGCAGGCCUAGCGGUCUAGUUACUGAUGUUAAGGUUAUCCUAAUCCUUCGUGGGCUAUUCAUUAAUUAACUCAGGUCAUGGAUAAGUGUCACUUCAGACAUUUAUAUGCUCUCCAAAGCCUAACUUUGACAGCCAGUUUCUGGUGUAAUAUUAGUUGAAUAUCCAUGCUCUGCCUCUCUGCCACAAGAGAUAUCAUUGUACGGUUGUACCACACCACCGUAAGUCCGUAAUAUGCAGUCAAUGAGCUUAGCUUAUGACAUAGCUUCAUUCUUGUCUCAUUGGGUCUGUUUGGUUCAACUUUUUUCUGACCAGUUUUUCUGAGAAUCUGAUUGCGGGGAGAAUUUGGUUGUGGGAGAAUAUGAGUAUCGUGGGGAUUACGUGCGGAGAAAGAUGAAAGUGUCCAUAGAGUUCAGAUCUAGAAAAUGAUGAAUUCCUACUAUUGCAACGACUCGGCCGAUUCUGUGUCUAUGUUGAUUUUGAAUAGUUUUUACCAAAUCAAUUCUUAUAGAAGCGGGCUGAAAAGCUAGGGUUUGGUAGUACAUAGCAGCUUUUGGUGGCCAGAAGCUGAAAAAAACUGAAACAAACAGGGCCAUUGUGCCUCCAGCUGUGACCGCCUACGCCAUACCCCUCAGUGCCCCUAUUAGUACAUCCAAGCUCUGCCCCUCUGCUGCAGUAUAAGUUGUGCCUCUGUUCUAGUGCAGCAUCAUGAUAUGUCACACACAAGGAUAGUGGGUGGGCUAUGAUACAACCUUGUAUGGCGGUGAAUAAUUGGUUGAGUACCCAAGGAAUGCAAUGUGACAGAGGGAGGAGUGGUUUGGGAUAAGCUGAAAAUUUACCGAAUAAUACUCCCUUUGAUUUAAGUACAUGUUGUUUAGGAAAUUGACACUGUCUACAAGGUGAAACUUUUACAAGUAGUUUCUGUGAAAAAUAUGUACAUUUCAAAGAAAAGUAACUAUUUUGAAAAUGAUUUUUAUGUUGAAUCUAGUAACAUGUAUCUAUGGUUUUUUAUAAUGAUGUUUAAAAAGUUUGUUCACCAGGAAUACUAAAUUGACAUAUAUCUUGGACCAGAGAUAGUAGUUUGUUUGUUUGAUUUUCUCAUUUUUCAUUGUUUGUUUAUUUAUGUGGAACAUGGGGAAGGGUAAUACAAUUUUACUUGUGAUUUUCUUUCUGAAACCAUAAUUCACUUAAAUACUCCUCAGUUUGUUAUUUUUUUCUCCAUUUUGUGUUUGUUUCUACCAGAUCAAUGGGCAGCACUGUCCUUUUUCAUUUAAGGGUAGUCCAUACUGGAUGGCUCCAGAGGUACUGAAAUGAAGCUCUUCCUUUAGUUUGUAUUUUUUUUUUUAAUUCAAUGUGCAUCACAUUAUAAUUUCUGUUAACAAAAUACUAACCAUGCAGCACAAAUGCAGGUUAUAAAAAAUUCUAAUGGAUGCAACCUUGUGGUUGACAUAUGGAGUUUAGGUUGCACUGUCCUGGAAAUGGCUACCUCAAAGCCACCAUGGAGCCAGUAUGAAGGGGUCAGUAUUAGACAUCACAAUAUAACUGAUAUUUCUUCUAGAGUGUCAGAUGUCUGGUGCUCAAGCUGAGUUAACCAUCUGCAUUUAUUGUUGACUAUUGCUGCCUACAUCAGCAAUCAGCAUUUCAUUUUACUAAUCCAGUUUCUAGCUACGUCAAAAGUUCAGAACUUAAUUUAUUAUUCCAUAUUUAUUGAGAUGUAGCCGAUUUCUUUUUGCCUUCUGGGUGCAUUUACAGUCUUUACCUUAGAGUUUCAUGAAUACCUUUAUCUUACGGCUAGUUUGGGAACCUAAUUUUCCCAAUGGAUUUCCAUUUUUCCAAGGGAAAUUAGUUCAUUUUCCCAUGGGAAAAUAGAAAUCCCAUGGGAAAACGGAGUUCCCAAACUAGUUCUUAUAUUUUUAAAAAUAACCAUAAUAGUGUGAAAUUGACUUUCCCACUUUCUACUGUUUUUUGGAGGUCAAAAGACUUAGCCCUUGGUUUAGCAUGAACUAGUUAAGUAGUUAGAACUUCAAUUGCUUUUUCAUUUAUUGUAGUUCAAGUAAUUGGUUGACAUCAUGUAUGCUAUUGAUGCUGGAAGGGCAAGGAAGCGGCCCAGGAUCAGGAUGCAGCACAUACAAGUGUUUUGAGUUCUCAAGUACAAGGAGUCAGAGUCCUAGGUUCUUUCGUUUAGGAGAUACAUUAGUCGGUUUCAGUUAGAUAUAUUAGCAAAUUGGAUUAGAAUUAGUUAAAGUUGUAUGAGAUGAAGGAUUUGUAACUUGUCCUUAUAUAUAUAGGUCACUUGUAUCUGGAAAACAUCAAGAAUGGAUUAAAUCUAGCUCCCUGUUUCCUCCUGUUAUCCUACCGCUGGUGCCUAAAUCCCUGCUUCGUGGUCCAGGUUCCCAAAUAUUACCUUGUACGUCUACACCCUUUGCAACCUGCCAGCAACCAACCAGCCACCAGUAUUCCAAUUUACUGAAAAGAUGCAUUUUCUCAAAAAGAAAGAAAACGACGAACAACUUAUUUACUGUGAAUUAGUUUAAUAUGCUAAAUAAUCCCACUGUUUCCCAUAUUUCAUUCUUUUCAAUGAACACAUUUCAAGAUAAUGGGCUAUUUCCUCAAGAUACUGAAUUGUACCAUUUACUUAGAGCACAGAGCCACAGAUAAGAUGUGCCAUUACAUUGACACCCAGAGAGCAGAAUCCCACACUGGGUGAAUGAGUGAAAAGUUACUUUUUCCUGAAUUUUACCAAGACUUUCGUGCUAUCUGAAAGUGGUAAUCCAAGCCCAUGUACCUUUAUGAAGUUAUUAAAUAUUGGACUUCUUUUAAUUGUUAAUUUAAUCAUAAAUGCAAUUCAGGUAUGAAUGUUUCCCUUUUAUUUGCCAACAGAUUGCUGCAGUGUUUAAGAUUGGGAAUAGCAAGGAACUUCCACCAAUACCGGAUUAUCUUUCGGAGCACUGCAGGGACUUCAUUAGGAAGUGUCUGCAACGUGACCCGUCUCAACGUCCAACGGCAGUUGAGCUUUUGCAACACCCGUUCAUACAAAAUGGAAUUUCACUUGAGAAAUCUGUUACUCCUAAUCAUUUGGAGCAUUUGGCUGCCAUAUCAUGCAGAACAAAACCCAAGGUACCAGCUGAAUGCUACUAUUCUCAUUUGAUUCUUCAACUCAAAAUAGCAUAUCUUCUCAAAUUUAAAGUGAUGUAUUUAUCUUCAGUGAAUUUCAUUUGUUUCUUUAAUUACGUGCAUCAGAAAUUGAUAUGUUAGUUUAUCCAUUGUUGUCAAAUUGUACACCUAUAUGAAAUUUCGUUUUUUUUUAUUUUUGGGGUUUGGGCAUAAAAAAAUAAAUUCUAAUCAAGAUGUAGCGUAUCCUUGAUACCUGGCAAGUGGACAGCGGAAUUGAAUUGGAGAGUGACCAAAGCCGAAGGAGAAAAACUGUCGUCCAGCUUACUUUACUCAGAGGAGCAACCAUCCGAAAUUAAAUUCGAGAGUGAAUAGAUUAAGUGGGGUAGGACAUGAUAUGAGACGAACGGAUGCCAAUAUUUAUAGCACAUCAAAAAGCAGGUUGGAGCUUGGUUGGUAAUGCUCUGAUUGAAUGUUUAUUUCUUUUGGAGAAGGAUGCUACCACAGGAUAGAACGGGGAUACAGGGCAGAUGAUUAUUCUUUUUUCGGUGACAGAGGGAUCUGGAAAUUUUACAAGGGCAUAUAGAAAAAUUUCCUUGUUAAUUUAGCUCAAUUGAACUGAUAUAUAUACCUGUCUACAAUUUCUGAGUGUUAAUUUGUUGAAACAGACCAUGUACAGUUGGAUUUUCUUCCAUUUAACACUCUUAUGAUCUCCUUUUGGGACUUGAUUUGCCAGGUGGCCGUGCAGACAAGAAAUGCCUCCUUAGGUUUUGAGGGUCAGACGAUUUACCAAAGAAGGGGUGUAAAACUAUCUUCAAAACACAGGUACAACACUACAAAUCUACAACAUAGCUUCCUGCUACAAUCUUUUCAGAGAAAGUUAUGGAACCUAAAACUAGUGUUUACAAGUUAUCCGAUUAAUCACGAUUAGUCACAAUUAAUCAAUUUAGUCGGUCUCUGGAGGUCGAUCAGGGUCACUGAGGUGACUAGCUCGACUAGAAACCUAGUGGUCUGACUAGGAGGAGGACAUUCGAGCUAGAUCUCUGACUGCUUUGUCCUAUUCAUGAGCCUGCUAUUGGGCUUAAGAGGUGGGCUAUUGGGCUGCCAAUUUGGCAUGUUAAGGACAAACGUGCCCAAACUCCAAAAACGUGGAGAACGGAGGCAACAUUGAUUUCCUUCUCCCAUGCCGAGUUCCUCCCACACCUCCCCACACGCCGCUUUGUAGCCUUCUACUCGUCGGUGUGCCUUGUCGGAGAUGAAGAAGAUGAUCCUUGGAUCACUCAAACGCUCACAGAACUCAACAUGAACACUAGAACACACUCAGUUUUUGGCGCUGUCAAACUACACCACUACUUAGGUGUAUUUUGUUGACAUGUUUAUAUACACAAUUACAAAGUCUCACAUGCACAAAUCACGACACCAAUCAACAAUCAAUUAGCUAAGAAAGAAAACUAUCUAAUUAGCUAUCAGUUAGCUAAGAAAGGAAACUGAUUUGCAAAUCAGCUAUCAAUUAGCUAAGAAAGGAAACUAACCAGUCAACUAAGAAAGAAACUAAAAACCGAGCUGGAGUAUGCAACAAUCUCCCCUAAGCCUAUCUCGAUUUAUUUGACAUUGAUGAUGCCAAUCUUGCCACAAAUUUCCGCGAACAGUGCACGUCCACGUGGCUUCAUCAGAAUGUUCGUAGGCUGUUGAUCUGUGCUUACAUGAUCCACGUAGAUCUUCCCAUUCUCCACACAUUUAUGUACGAAACAUGGUUCUUGCUGAGUGCAAUUGUGGAUUGAUUGUCCAUCUUUAGCAGCGACGGGUAGACUUUGUCGUCGAUGAUGCCCUUAGUUGUCGUGUCCGCUAUAUGCUUUGCUUAACAAGUUGAGAGGGUCACCACCUUCUGUUUGUCUGCUAUAAAGAAGAUAAUGUUGUUAGUGCUUAUCUCAUCGAUGUCUCUCCCUAAGUUGUCCAUGUACCCGGUUAGUGUGUAGCAUGUCAGCCUUCUAUCGGUGUUACACCGCUUAGGGUAGACAAGGCCCUAGUCGACUGUGUCGAUGGUGUAGCGCAUGAUGUGUGUGAUGGAGGCUAGAUGCUCUUGUCGCGGUCUCUCCAUGAAGUGACUCACAAAACCCACCGCAAACACUCCUGGUAUGGAACAUAUAGGCUAGAUUCCCCACCAAACUUUUGUACAUUGUCACAUCGACCUCCGGUGUUAAGCUCUUCGUUGAGAGAUCCAAUCGGACCUCCAUUGGCAUGUGACAUGGGAUACAGGUCCCCAUGGUGGCCUUGUCUAACAACUUGUGGGUGUACACUGCUUGCCCCAAUGUGACAGAGUCGCACCCUUGCUUGACCUCUAGCUCGAGAUAGAAGGACAAGAGACCAAGGUUGCCCAUCCAAAAUGGACGACACAUCCGCUCCUUGAAUGCAUCGACUUUUGUCGGACUUGCUCCAAUGAUGAUUGACCCUGACCACCACACGCGAUGUUGCGACACCCUUGGUGUACAUCCCAUGCUCGCUGACACGUGGUGAAUCCAAGUUUACGCAAAUUCUUGUCCAACUUUGUGUUCCAAGCCCGCGGCACCUGGUGAAGCCUGUACAUCGCCUUCUUCAGUCGUAGGACCUUCGCUUCGUGCCCAACAACGACAAAGCUCGACAGCUGUUGGACGUACACCUCCUCCUUGAGCUUGCCAACCAGAAACGUCGACUUGACAUCCAUUUGAAGGACAAGCCAUCCCCUCUGAGCCACAAUAGCAAGCAAACACCUGCACGGAUUCCAUUUGCGCGAUUGGAACAAACUCCUCAUUGUAGUCUACCUUGGCAAGGGUAGGAUCUUCUCUCUGAUUUGACCAGGUGAAUCUCCUCCCACAUAGCAGUAUUUCCUUUAACUCCAGAGAAUUGAUCCAGCUUCUGAAAUCUCCCAUCAAAGCUCGAUUGAUAUUGGAAUUAUUCUUGUCUUUUGCUCUAUAAAUCAUGUUAAAAUCCCCAGCAAUGAUCCAUGGCCCUUCACAUUCAUUCCUGACCACACCGAGCUCCUGAAGAAAGGCAAGUUUGAGGUUAUCUUGAUGAGGCCCAUAAACACCUGUGAACCACCAGAGUUGACCUGACAGUAACUGAAACUGAACUGACACCGAAAACUCCUUGAUGACAGAAACUCCAGUGGAAAGGUUUCUGUCGCGCCACGCUACAAGAAUACCCACUCUGGUUCCAAUGGCGGGGCUAAAAAUAAAAUUACUAUAUGUCGACCCAAGAAUUGUAAUAAUAUCAAAAUCAGAGAUGGAUGACAGCUUGGUCUCUUGCGGGCACACAAUAGAAGGCAUUGUGUCAAGAACCAAAGAUUUAAUAGAGUCUCUCUUAGCACGAUCGUUGAGACCCCUCACAUUCCAUAUUAAAAUACCAUUUGAAUCCAUGAAAAAACAAAUUCAGCCAGCUCCACCAAACCGCACAGCUCAGGACUGCCCAGGUGGGGGCACCUCCCAACCGAACAGGGCUGCCAACGCAGUAAUAUGCUCUCUAGAAAGAGGUGAAUCAAACAGUUUAGCAUAUCUUCUUGCAUCCGUGAAGGAAAUAUUCUCUCUCUCUCGUCACAGAAACCCAGAUGCUUGCACACCUUUGCAGCAGAGGGAGAGCCUAACUCAGGUGGUAUCUUGGCCACCCUCCUGCUUCGCCUUAGGUUGAAAUUGCUAGGAAUCAGCUUUCUCUUUCGUUUGACUGGUUGGAUAGGGGCCGGUAGGAUUCCAUUGAUCUGUUUUGUAAUUUCAUCUUUAAAUUUCUGCAAAGGAGUAGAAGUUCCAAUCUCCUCAGAUUGUGCUAGCUGAACCAGGAUUUUUUUACGGACAUAAACCUUGAAGCAGGGAUGUUUGGCCCUGAUCUUGUAGUCCCAUGAAGAAACCAGAAUUCUUGACACAGAUUGCUCCUCCAAAUUAAAUGUUGAAACCAAAGGAACUAGGGCAUUCUCGGAAAAAGGCUCCAAUGUCAUAUCAGCAGUCUUCCCACCGGUGGAAACUACAGAACCCCCAACUGAAGCAGGAAGGGGUCCGAUAUUGGCAAUAAUUGGCGCCCCUAACGCAGGAGACGUGGGAUUGCCAGGGAAGGAGGGAACAAGCGCCUGCAACUCAUCAACCGAGGAAUUCGAGAGAGGAGCGGCAUCAACUGUUCCACCUCCCCCACCAGGAGUGAUACGUGGUCCCAACCGUGCAUGAACAGAGGUCCGGACCGAAGAGAACUGAUGAUCCGGAAUAUGCUGCCUCUACCGCUGAUGCUUGCUAUCUCGAUCUUCAUCAUCAUCUGGGGAGGAAAACAGAGGCUGCUCCUCAACCGGCAAAACAACCGGAGUAGUCACUUUCACCGAAAUGGAGUAAAUCAAUGUGCGAGGGAAGCAGGAUCCAUCUUCUCCAAUAGACGUCGGCUCUUCAACGUGGAGAUCGCAGCGAGAAGGCAAGCAAUCCAUAGAGAAACCCCAAGCCUUCAGUUUCAGAACUGACAAAUCCGUCCCAUCAACAGUAUCCGGAUGUAAUCCCUGAACAAUGCAGUGUCCACCGAGCAGAUGCUCUGCCGUAUCAAUCCCCCAGAGGUGUGCCGGAAUCCCGCCAAGUUCAACAUCCAUAAGCACAGGGAGGGCACCUCCACCAGAGGCCAACGCCUGACGUGACCACCUCCUAAGAUGCAGCCGGAGGGGGGGGUAUAGAAAUGGAAUUUCCACCAGCCAAGGCGCGAACAGCGUGAUCCACGGAGGGGAAGAAAACCAGGUACGAGUUGGACGCAGCACGUCGGAUUUGGAGCGCAUCAGCCUCAAGACCAUACUUCGAGGCGAGCGCCUCCAAAAUCACAGCGGCGCAGUCAGAACCCUCCUGGCCAAGAACAUUGACGAACAAAGCACGAUGAAAAUCCUCCUCCACCCGGUCGAUCAACCUUGAACGUUUAAGAAUAUACGAACGAGGGGGGUGCACCACCGAAGGCAAGGAAGAUGAAGCCAACGAUGAGCCCCGACCAGGUGCGCCCAAGUCCUCCCGGUCCAUUCUUCGGCGCCUCUGUCCACGGCGAGUGUGCUUCAUCUUCUUCAUACCAUCACCAUCACCACCGACCCGCGAAACACCUUCCAUAUCGUAGAGAGGAACUUUCUCCGGGACGACCUUCCUGGGAACUGGACGCCACACCAACACCUUCGCUGGGUGAUGCAGAGUCCUCUUCCGACGUGGGCACACGCGCACCCGAUGCCCAGGCAGGCGGCAAUGGAAGCACCACACCAAACUGCCACAAUCAGUCGCACGGUGGGACGGCGAGAAACAGUUGAAGCAUUUCCCACGUAAAUCGGCAGGAACGGGUCUGGGGGGCGCAGGGGAAGAGGGGGGCAGGGACUUCGACGGCGACGUCCCACAACCUUCACCCAUCCACCGUCACCAUCAUCAGCGCCGCAGGCAGUGGACCCUCCAUCCACCAGCGCCUCCUUAUACGAGCGACGUAAAUCACUCCGGGAAGCAGCCGAAGGAAGAUCCUGUUCACACCAUCACUGUGCCUUUGAACGGCCACCAGGAAGAUUCGCCACAGACUGGGCGGAGAGAGGAGAGGAGGCCGACGCCGGGGUAGCAGGUUGGGUGGCCGCCGGCCUUGGGAGGAUGACCGGCGUGAGGCUGUGGGUUGGAGGGGCUGAGGCGUCGGCCGGAGGUGGAAGGUCAGGGGACGGGAGCGGAAGGGACAGGAGCGGAAGGGGCGGGAGCGAAAAGGACAUCGCGCUCGUACUGCUAAUUGUGAUAAGGAUAUUUUUGUUUUUGUUAUGAACAUUAGAUAAUGAACUGAACUUACGAACUUUAUAUAGAGCUGAUUAUACUCUUUUUCUUUCUAACAAAAUGAUUUGUAAAUGAGAUAGUCAUUGCAUAGCUCUGGUAACUUAAUACAAAUAUUAAGCUUGCUUUUGGUCAAAUUUAUUUGUCUUAUCUUUUAUUUGUUUUAGUAAAUUUGUUUUGAAUUUCGGGCUCUGAUGUGAAUUUCGGGCCCUGAUGUGAAAUUCGGGCCAAAAACUGAAUUUCGGGCCAAAAAUUGAAUUUCGGGCCCUAAUGUGAAUUUCAGGCUUUUAUAAUUUCGGGCCGCCCGAAAUGAGCCCGGCACGUUUAAGCAAUUACGGGCCGGGCCGUGGGUCGGGCCGAAAUUCAAACAAUACGGGCCUUUUCAGGCUUGGGCCGGGCCGGGCCAGGCGGCCCGAAUGUACACCUAUACUUCUGGCCAUGCCAAGCACCGUCUGGGUGCGUCUCUCCACCAUGCCACUAUGAUGGGGCGUGUGUGGCAUUGUGAGAUGAUGCUAGAUGUCGUGCUUGGGACAUGAGCAUCAUGAACAAGUUACCGCGGUUGGUGCGGAGCGUGCCCAUGUUUUGCCCCACCUCUGACUCAACGUGUGCCUAGAGUUUGAUGAUGGCCACCACAACCUAGUCCUUUGACACCAACAACACAAGCCACAUGAAGUGACUCCUCAUCGACGAUGAGGAACAACUUCCUUCUAGGCGUCUUUGAGGUCGAGCAAAUGAGGUGCAUGGUACUCGUCGGCUGUAGGCUAUGUUUUCUGGUCGAGCGACCAACUGGUCGAACUGGGGGAACGACCAGGCGACUAAUCGACCUCUGGUCGACCUAGUCGUAUAUUAGUCGUCAUGUUCAUCUAGGACAUAUGUAUUUACUAUAUAGUAUAUAAUUAUAUAACUAUAUAUAAAGGAUAGGGUAAACAUGACAUGAAUUCUGCAAUACUGAUUUAAGAAAUUGAGAGAAGAUAUUUGUUCAUCCAAAUAUCCAAUUGAAAACAACAAAGAAACACUUACUAGUUACUACCAGAUACCACAUAACACACAUUAUCAUGACGGCGACAACCAAACUCUAUAUGUAUCAAAGGAAUAAAGAUUAGAGGAUGGCAACAUGAACAAGGAUGGCAACAUGAACAGAAUCUCUAUUGUCUACAUGAACUGAGUCAGAAACAUAGAAGGACAGAACACAAUACAGAAGAUAGAAGUGAAUACGACCUCCAGAUCAUGAACUCAUGUCGUGUGCCGGUAAUCUGGGGCCGCGCACGCCAAAGAAGACGAACUGGGGCCGAGGUUUUUGAAUACGUCGACUGUCACUGAAGCUGCGCCGCCGUUGAUCAACUUACCAGGAGUCAGGAGCCUUGCGCGGCGAGGCGACGCCGGUGAUAAAAAAACAGGAGCCAGGAGGACAGAGAACGACGACAAGAGAAGAUAGAGAAGCAGAACUGCAGAAGGAAGGAGAUGAAGACGCCAGGAAUCAAGGAGAUUGGAAACAAGCCGUCGUGUGCAAGAGUAUAUCACGACGACGCCUUCUGACGUUUUGCCUCAUGUAGACGAGCCGCCCGACAAAAAAGGCCCACAAUUUUUUUAGUGGAUAUAAACCCUAGUCGCUAAGCACUACCUAAUCGAGCGAUUUAUCGGACCUAAUCGUCGGAUCACCUGAUCGGGUCGGUUCCCUAAUCGCCUACCCCUAAACCGACCAGCCCGACUAAUCGUGAUUAGUCGGACGACUUGAAAUCAGAGGCUACAGGAAAGGACGUUGUCAUUGCUUCCUAGCCAAGGAACUCGUGGACCUGGUCGAUGUGGUCGAUCGAUGGCAGUCUGUGCACCAUGCCACCCUCCAGCAGUUCCCUAAGCCCCUAGAACCCGAGAUGUCCAAACCUGCCAUGCCAUUGCUAGGCCACCUUCAAGCUUCGGGCAACAAGGGCACACAAGUUGAGCGAUGUCAAUGUCGAGGACGUAGAGGCGACUUGCUGAAUGCUGCACCUUGACCAACAAUCAUCAGCACUGGUCCUAGAUCCUGAGAAUGUUGUUCUCGAUUAGGACCUUGUGGUCGUUAUUGUCGAGCUGACCUAAACUGAUGAUGUUUGUUGUGAGUCGGGGGAUGAAGUAAAUGCUAGCUAGCAUGUGGUGCUCGCUGCCCUUGCACCUGAAGAGGAUAGUGUCCUGGCCCUCGAUGGUGACCAUGGAGCUAUCAUCGAACUAAACGGUCCUACGGGCACUGGUGUCAAACUCGAAGAAGGCCACACGCCCCCUAUCAUGUGGUUCGUUGCGCCAUUGCCGAAUAUCCGGUGCAUGCUCCUGCCAUCGCCUUCUUCCCGAGCUGGACGAAUAGUCGGUUCUCGUCGAGGUGGAUCUCCGGUGUUGGGGUGGGGGUGCUUUUGCGAGAGGUAGCCUAUUGUUGGUGGCGGACGUUAGAGCCACAAGCGCCACAAGCUCCAGCUCCUCAGCAAAACACCUACCAGGUGCUGCUUCUGCCCUUGAUCUGAACGUUGAGUCCAUCUCCAACCCCUGGUGACACGAUAUCCAUUGACGGUGAUGGAUUUGGAGAAGACGAUUGCAUCAGUGCCCUCUCUUGCUUGCCUCUUCUUCAGUUUGGGCCAUGAUGGAGGCAAGGCCUAGCAUCAGCGCCCCUUCAGUGGGCUCCUACCUAGUAUGGGCCUGGACUUGCAUCAAUCUGCUUCCCCUUUCCGUUGUUGUAGGUGUUCCAUGGCUGCCUCGAGCUGCCACCAUCUCUAUUGCGCCUGCCACAACUCCAACGACUCAUGUAUGAUGACGUCCAAUUGCCGCCCGAGCUUCCAUUGCUAGAGAGUUGGAACCACGAAACAACAUGUGGCACCAACUCAUCUUAGGUCUGUUUAGGCCAGGUAAGGCUCCUCCACCGCUGCUGCCAUCAAGAUCAUACCGUUCUUCCACCGCCUUGAGCCUCCCAAUCAACUCCACAGUUGUAUCCAGAGCAAGAAGGGUUUCGAUUGCCAUCACAAUUUGCAUGUACCUAGGUGGAGUAGCAUGUAGGAAUUUGUUCAUGAUCUCCGCCCCCUAGGUACCUAGCAUCGAGGACCUCCAGUUAGUUGAGGUUGGUGAUGCGCAUGCCAAAGAGUUCUUGAACCUGAGCGAGUCGAACUCGCACUGUAGCGUGUUCGCCUUCAAUUGGCGCACUCGAUCCACGCAUAGGUGUGUUUUCUUGAGAGCGCCCCAUGUGAUCUUGGCAGUCACCUUUCUCGUGAUCUCCCUUCAUCUCUGGAUGUACCUCGAGGGCGAUGACCUCCAGAGCAUUGUGAUGAUUGAUGUUGUGGGUGGUGCCAACGUUCACCGUCAUCCACAGUCCUCUUGCCUGUGGCCUGAACUUCAUGAGCGCUGGUCAUGAGCAGUAGUUGGUCUUGGUCAGCAAUGGGUGCUGCCCGCUGCUGCCAUUCUCCCUCACGACCCGGUGGAUCACUAGGCCAUGGUCACCAUUGCUAGAGCCGCUCCCCAUCUUCUGACGGCGAUGCGGUGGCGAGGCAGUUCGUUCGCACUACAUGACUGCAAGCACGACCCUGACAGCGAUAGCGACUUUGAUACCAGUUGUAGCCUUCUACUUGCCGGCGUGUCUUGCCGGAGACGAAGAAGAGGACCCUUGGAUCCACCCAAAUGCUCACAAAACUCAACACGAACACUAGGACACUGAGUUUUUGGCGCUGCUAAAGUACACUGCUGCUUAGGUGCAUUUUGUUGAUCUGUUUAUAUACACAAUUACAAAGGCUCACAGCCACAAAUCACGGCACCCAUCAGCAACCAAUUAGGUAAGAAAAGAAACCAUCCAAUUGGCUAUCAAUUAGCUAAUAAAGGGAACUUACCAAUCAGCUAAGGACUAAAAACCGAGCUGGAUUAUGAAACAAUUCUUCUCCUGCGCAGUAUUCUUUGUUCAACAACAUUAUUGUGGUCAGUUGGGACUUGUGAGUGUGCCCUUUCCCUCUAUCUUUUUCCUUCCCCCUCCCCCUCCCCCUCCCCCCUAAUAAUCCCUCACUGCUAGUCUGAUUGCUUGCUGUGCUGCUGCCCCUCUGCAAGUCUGUUUGCUCGCUGCACUGCCCUUCUGCUACUCUGCCUGCUUCCUGGCACUCCUUCCUAAGGUGCUGUACUGCUGUUGUGUAUAUGUGCAGAUGUGGAACGUGCAGAAACCAACUAGCCACUAAUGUUGUAUUGAUGUUUGCUUUAUUGUGUAUAGUAUAUAUAGAUAUAGGUACCAUAAAUUAUGUAUGUCCUGAAAUAUAUAGGACCACUAUAUGGAUGACUAGGGCCAACUAGGCUCAACUAAUUGGUCUGAUCGACAACUAAUAAUGAUUAUGUCACCUAGUUGGUCCCACAUCAACUAGGUUGGACUACAUGAUUUUUAAACAUUGCCUAAAACAAACAAACUUGGAGUGUUCCAUAACUUACCAAACUGCAGCAGUGCAGCUACUCUAGUCAUGUAUGCCAAUAUUUAUGCUUAUUUCCUGCUACAAUUUUUCUGAGAGGAAGUUAUGGAACCUAAAACGAAAUUAGUUGUAGAAGUGUUCCAUAACUAACCAAAGUACAGCUACUCUUUUCAUGUAUGACAGUAUUUAUGCAUGAAUGCAGUGAAAAAGAAAAAAAAUUAUCUAUACAUGCAAGUUUCUGUCCUGUAAUUAUUAUCUUCUUGCAGUGAUAUUCACAUACGAAGCAAUACAUCCUGUCCAGUUUCUCCAUGUCGGAGCCCCCUGCUAAAGGCGAGGUCCCCCCAACACACAAGUGGCAAAAUGUCACCCUCUCCUAUUUCGAGCCCCAGAACUACAUCAGGCACUUCCACACCCCUAUCUGGUGGUAAUGGUGCAAUUCCUUUUAACCACCUAAGGUAUGCAACUUACAGCAGCGAGGGAUUUGGGACCACAUCAAGAGGCCUAGAUGAUCACUUCUCCAACUGUCAUAAAGAUCUGAACCUUGGGCAUUUUGCUGAGGCGCAUCAAGUCUCACAGGGACCUAGGGAAAGGGUAGUAUCUGAAGCUGAUAUUCUGAGCCCUCAAUUUAGAAAGAAACUUGGAAAUGUAUUUGACUUGCGGGAAAGGUUGUCCCCUUCUGAACAUUUUACUCGUCGUGCCUUGGUGGAUCAUGUGGAGCUAAAUCCUUCAAACCCUGGACUAAAGCGUGGUAAAUAACUAGAGUAUAAAAGGCAGGGUUGCAUUUUUUUUUGAAGUUUGUUGAAGUAACUGGUGGUUUUUGGCUACUAUGACCAUUCAAUGGCUGCAAGUGUAUCAUAGUAUCAGAAAGAUUGAUAAUUUCUUUAGAAGCUAAUGGUUGCCAAUGGAUGGGAUCUCUGUUGUCAUCAACGCAAUUCAAGUCAACAAAGGUAUGCCCCUUAUCCUAAUUUGCGCCUGUUUUACAAUCUGCAUCAAUUUACGCACCUGCAUAGGGCCAAACUAUUCUAAAUCACUUGCAGAUUCAGUGUCAUACCUUUUCUAGCUGCUAGGAACUUGUAGUGUUAGUGCAACACUGUGCUCUGAUAUUUGUGCUAGUUGUUGGUCUGCUAUCAUCUUAUAUGCGUGGUCCCUGCAGCUAAUGCACCCGUUUGCCAUUGGUCAUAGUUUGGCUAGCAUGUUGCAGAGAUCUGGUUGCACCUGCUUUGCAUUUCAACUUCAGCUUAUUGGACAUGAUAGUUAUUGAAGAUGCCAAAUUUUGUUUAAAAAAAAAGAAUCUCAUGUUCUGUGGAUGAUCUGCAGAUUCUGCCUAUUCCUACAUGGCUGAGCAAGUUUCCUUAGCUUACUAAACUGGCGUGCUAACAAGUGACACGUGUCAAUUGAUGGGACUGACUGAAUCACGGAAUGACCCAAAGCAGUAACUCUCCAUCUGUAUACCCCUCACCCCAAUAUGUACAGAAGGAAUCUCAACUAGGAACCUAGAAUUUGCACAGGAAAAAAAAACAGGUGUGCUAGCCAUUUGGCAAUCAGUGCCAGUUUAUCUGUUGCUCCACAGUUACAUAUCCCACCCAUGGUUGAGGUGGAGCUGCAAAGUCCGUUGGAAUUAUCUUGUAGCAGUUUCUCGGCAAGAUGAGUCGCUUCAUUCACUGUACGUCGGUGCCGGCUACUCUGAAACUUACAUACUAUAAGAAUCUGGUCCCUUACUAACUGCAUGUCGUCCGAACCACUGCAUGAACUUGUUUGCACUGCUGCUGGGAUUACGAAUGUUGUAACAAAGCACGGGUUUUGCUGCUUGAUGGCGGAAGCAAAAUGUAGUACAGAUUAGGUGAUAUGCAGUCAAGUGUUUACCUGUCUGGGUGAUGGCAUUCGUCAGGAAAUUUCUGCCCUGGGCUGUUACCUUGCAUCGGGGGCAGUUACUGGCAUGCCCUCGGCUGCUCACAAGUUUCAGGCCAUGGUCCAGCCCCCCGCUGGGCUGGUCCUUGCGGUUUAUGGCGAUCUGUUGUCGUGUGUCCGAGGUCGCGAUCGCUGCCAGGGUCGU